rfam:Gossypium hirsutum cultivar TM-1 chromosome 20, whole genome shotgun sequence
UUAGCGGCGCUUUUUAGCGCCACUAAAGGUCUACUUGAGUUAUUA